CUUUAUGUAGCCUAUCUGCUCUGCUUAUUCUCCCCAUAAGCAUUAUGUUUUAUAAAGUCACCGAAAAGACAGAAAUCUUGGAUUUUUCCACCUGCGAUUCGUUUUUAGGAGCAGGUGCACCACAUUAACUCCGUUCAGUGUACGACACCCUUCCAUCACCAACAAACCUCCACAGAUGGGGAAUGAGGGAGGACCCGUUGAACAAUGGCGCACAUAUUGGCAGGAUGCAAAACAGCUCUUAGCCAAGGAAGAUACAGGUGGCGCCAUGACAAGGUUCUCACUGGCAGAACUGGCGGACAUCCUGGAGCGGGAGAGGCAGAAAAAGCGCCAGACCAGUACAAGGCCGACGACAUUCAUUCAGUUCGUCAGAGAGGGGGAGAAACCACCAGCCCCCAAGAAAAAAAAGAGCCUCUUGCAAGCAGCACAAUCCUGGGAGAUGAGGGUGGACCUGGGAAGGAAAUUAGUCUUCUCCCGGGUUGUGCAAACAUCGCUGAGGCCGGAUGCGGUCCUAUGGUCUGAGGAGGCAAGGAAGAUAAUCUUGAUUGAACUGACGGUCCCGUGUGAGGACGGGUGCGAAGAGGCCUAUGAGCGGAAAGCCACCAAGUAUCAGGACCUCGUUCAGCAGUGUAGGGCCAAAGGGUGGCAGACCUGGGGUUUCCCGGCGCAGUCUGUGUGGAAGACACUCACGGCUCUGGGUUUAGCAGGAAGGGAGAGGAAGGCAGCUGUUCGUAGGUUGGGUUGGCUGCAGAAAGAGCGUCUUGCUGGCUCUCGAGUAGGAGGGAGGAGUUGAGCUGGGGGCCAGAGGGAGGUGGGCAGUGACUAGCCACCACUGCUGACCGCCAACUGGAGGGUGUUCAGGGUCGAAACACCCCGUGAAAGUUGGACGCCACCUGAUGACAUCUUCUCCUGGCUGAAAGCUACAGUCAUGCACUAUAGUCAGUGACUGAGUUAGAUAGCAUCAGUAAAGAUGUAUCCAAUAGUAACAAUGGUGCCCAUUAUGUAGUCUGCACAUGUAAUUUGCACACUGUGUUCCCCCCUGUCUUUAGGGGUGCUACAGUACCCUCCGCACCCACCUUUUUGCACGCUUGCCCACGGGUAAAAUUUGCAAGCUAAUUAACAUGUUGCUAGGUUUGAUUUCAGAGGAGGAGAGAAAGUUUAUCGGCUCAUUUGAUUUGUCGGUUAACUCAAACACUGUAGAAGAAUGGAUCCUAAUGAUUAUGAGCAGAUAGUUAAAUAUAAACUGAAAGGCGAAUAUCCAGCUCUUUUACCGAAAGAGACAAAUUCCUUCUUCGAAGAAAAGCUGCUCUCUACAAAACUGAAGGGCGACUUCAUCUGCAGCAGCACAGCAAGGUUUAAGCUGCUUCGUCCGUCCAUCCCCGACAGCAAAACAAUCCCCAGUGAAGGAAAACACCAUCUCCAAUCAUCCAGCAGGUGAACGACCUGUCUGCUGUCGC